UGUACAUAUUCGAUGAUAUUGUGCCAUUAUCAAAAUAUGAGUAAGGUGUGUACAUGAAGAGUUGAAAACACAUCACAAAACAGUGAACAUUUGGCAACAGGAAAGGAGAAAAGGAGACAUACAUUGGAAACCAACAUGCCACAUCUUGCCUAUCAGCUUAAGCUCUAAACUAACUUGCCGCUACAACUUAGCCAAGAUAUUUUGUUGUUACAUGAACUUCUCAAGGAAAAUUUCUACAAGCGGAAGUUGAGAAAUUUGCAGUAUUUUCCCUCGAAUCAAAUGUCAAAGCAUAUCUGGAGAGACCCAAAACAACAAGGUGACAGUUGGGCUUAGGAUCUCUUGGACUUUUCUCUAGGUUUCUUGAAGGCCAAUCUGCCUUGAACCAUGCAUCGGAAUGAAACUAAAUUGAUUUCCUUAUAUCAAGUUGAGCAGUAGCUUGGUAAGCACGAUAGUACAACCUCAGUAGAUUGUAUAAUGACUGCAUUCUAAUCUCAGAAGCAAAUGCAGUUGCAGGGGAAAAAAAUCAAAUGGAGAUAAAGAAAAGACCUUAAGACUCCACGAUUUUGUAAAGGAGGAAAAUGUUGAAGAUUUUGACCUACACCCGUUGAAACAAAAUAUCACCUGGACCCGUUUUGAACCUCAUCAUACAUAUGACUCCUAAACUUUUUAUGUAAUCAGGUUAGCACGAAUGCAAAGCGUUUAACAUGUUCCGAUGCAAAACCAGAAGACGAAUUCCAAUUAUUCUUAACAUCCGCCCACUAACAUACCGUAAAUGAUUUACUUGGGAAUCUAUUGCAAUAAAGUUCACCUUCAGAAAGUGGCA